rnacentral:rRNA from 1 species
AUUGAACGCUGGCGGAAUGCUUUACACAUGCAAGUCGAACGAUGAACCUUAGCUUGCUAAGGGGAUUAGUGGCGAACGGGUGAGUAAUGUAUCGGAACGUAUCCAAUAAUGGGGGAUAACUAGUCGAAAGAUUAGCUAAUACCGCAUACGUCCUACGGGAGAAAGCUAGGGACCUUCGGGCCUGGCGUUAAUGGAGCGGCCGAUAUCUGAUUAGCUAGUUGGUGGGGUAAAGGCUCACCAAGGCGACGAUCAGUAGCUGGUCUGAGAGGACGACCAGCCACACUGGAACUGAGACACGGUCCAGACUCCUACGGGAGGCAGCAGUGGGGAAUUUUGGACAAUGGGCGAAAGCCUGAUCCAGCCAUUCCGCGUGAGUGAAGAAGGCCUUCGGGUUGUAAAGCUCUUUCGCAAGGGAAGAAAACUUAAGCUCUAACAUAGCCUGAGGUUGACGGUACCUUGAUAAGAAGCACCGGCUAACUAUGUGCCAGCCGCCGCCGUAA